AUUGAACGCUGGCGGCAUGCCUUACACAUGCAAGUCGAACGGUAACAGGCCGCAAGGUGCUGACGAGUGGCGAACGGGUGAGUAAUACAUCGGAACGUGCCCGAUCGUGGGGGAUAACGCAGCGAAAGCUGUGCUAAUACCGCAUACGAUCUACGGAUGAAAGCGGGGGAUCGCAAGACCUCGCGCGGACGGAGCGGCCGAUGGCAGAUUAGGUAGUUGGUGGGGUAAAGGCCUACCAAGCCGACGAUCUGUAGCUGGUCUGAGAGGACGACCAGCCACACUGGGACUGAGACACGGCCCAGACUCCUACGGGAGGCAGCAGUGGGGAAUUUUGGACAAUGGGCGCAAGCCUGAUCCAGCCAUGCCGCGUGCAGGAUGAAGGCCUUCGGGUUGUAAACUGCUUUUGUACGGAACGAAAAGGUUUCUUUUAAUACAGGGAACUGAUGACGGUACCGUAAGAAUAAGCACCGGCUAACUACGUGCCAGCAGCCGCAGUAA
rnacentral:rRNA from 1 species